rnacentral:rRNA from 1 species
GACGAACGCUGGCGGCGUGCUUAACACACGCAAGUCGAACGAAGAGCGAUGGAAGCUUGCUUCUAUCAAUCUUAGUGGCGAACGGGUGAGUAACGCGUAAUCAACCUGCCCUUCAGAGGGGGACAACAGUUGGAAACGACUGCUAAUACCGCAUACGAUCUAAUCUCGGCAUCGAGGAUAGAUGAAAGGUGGCCUCUACAUGUAAGCUAUCACUGAAGGAGGGGAUUGCGUCUGAUUAGCUAGUUGGAGGGGUAACGGCCCACCAAGGCGAUGAUCAGUAGCCGGUCUGAGAGGAUGAACGGCCACAUUGGGACUGAGACACGGCCCAGACUCCUACGGGAGGCAGCAGUGGGGAAUCUUCCGCAAUGGACGAAAGUCUGACGGAGCAACGCCGCGUGAGUGAUGACGGCCUUCGGGUUGUAAAGCUCUGUUAAUCGGGACGAAAGGCCUUCUUGCGAAUAGUGAGAAGGAUUGACGGUACCGGAAUAGAAAGCCACGGCUAACUACGU